rnacentral:rRNA from 1 species
AGAGUUUGAUCCUGGCUCAGGAUGAACGCUGGCGGCGUGCUUAACACAUGCAAGUCGAACGAUUAAGACACCUUCGGGUGUGUAUAAAGUGGCGAACGGGUGAGUAACACGUGACCAACCUACCCCGUGCACCGGGACAACCACCGGAAACAGUGGCUAAUACCGGAUAAUGCUAGAUAAGCGCAUGUUUUUCUAGCCAAAGCACAUACGGCACGGGAUGGGGUCGCGGCCCAUCAGGUUGUAGGCGGGGUAACGGCCCACCUAGCUUUCGACGGGUAGCCGAGCUGAGAGGCUGAUCGGCCACAUUGGGACUGAGAUACGGCCCAGACUCCUACGGGAGGCAGCAGUGGGGAAUUUUGCGCAAUGGGGGAAACCCUGACGCAGCAACGCCGCGUGCGGGAUGAAGGCCUUCGGGUUGUAAACCGCUUUCAGUAGGAAAGAACACAAUGACGGUACCUACAGAAGAAGCCCCGGCUAACUACGUGCCAGCAGCCGCGGUAAUACGUAGGGGGCAAGCGUUAUCCGGAUUCAUUGGGCGUAAAGCGCGCGUAGGUGGACAUCUAAGCGGGACCUCUUAUCCGAAGGCUCAACCUUUACGGCCGGGUUCCGAACUGGAUGUCUCGAGUUGGGUAGGGGAGGUCGGAAUUCCCGGUGUAGCGGUGGAAUGCGCAGAUAUCGGGAAGAACACCGAUGGCGAAAGCAGACCUCUGGGCCUUUAACUGACACUAAGGCGCGAAAGCUGGGGGAGCAAACAGGAUUAGAUACCCUGGUAGUCCCAGCCGUAAACGAUGGGCGCUAGG